rnacentral:misc_RNA from 1 species
AACAAGGCGUACCUGCGGACCUGCGGAGGGAUCAUCAUUGAAAACAAAUUUGGACAAGGGGAUUGUUGGAUGGGGGGAGGGAAAAAGGGGGAUAGAAACUCUGCAUUUUGUUCCCUGACCCUUGAGGACAGCCUCUUGGACAAACAACCAAUCUUCAUGACUAGGAAAGGAAAGGAAAUGAAAUUGAUACAAGUUCUUGUCUGACAAGUAAGCUUGCUGAUUUGGAGCAGAGCAUGUGAU